GAUCAUGGCUCAGGAUGAACGCUAGCGACAGGCUUAACGCAUGCAAGUCGAGGGGCAGCAUGAGGUAGCAAUACCUUGAUGGCGACCGGCGCACGGGUGAGUAACGCGUAUGCAACCUGCCCGAUACCGGGGUAUAGCCCAUGGAAACGUGGAUUAACACCCCAUAGUACUUUUAUCCUGCAUGGGAUGUGAGUUAAAUGCUCAAGGUAUCGGAUGGGCAUGCGUCCUA
rnacentral:rRNA from 1 species